ACUCCUGGCUAUGUGCAGGAGUUGCAGUAUCUGAACAGAGCACUUGCUGGCCUGAACCAGAGGAGCAAGGAAGGUGCUCCUGGCUGAUGCCUGGGACUCAAACAAGAAUUCAGAUAAGGGUGAAGCUGAAAGUGCUGGGACUAAGAAGGGAAGUGGCCCAGGGAAACAUAGCAGCAGACUGUGUGUGACUCAGCUGGAGGGCCAGGUCACCGAAAACCUGCUUGAGAAGUUUAACUAUCAACAGGGGUCACUGCAAGCAGAGCAAAAGUGAGAGAGUGCAGGUGCAGACACACCUGGCCAGCAGGGGCACUCACUUGAGUAAGAAGAAAAAAAUUGGAAAAGAAAGGCCUAAUGAAAGUGGAGAGUAAUGGUGCCAGACAUAGGAUGUGACCUGUCAAAGUACUGAUUUCUGGAGAAAGCUGUAGGGAUCUUAGCCCAGUUGGCAGCUACUGUUGAAGCUUCUUA